AAAAAUAUCUAGACGAAGAUGGAGGUAAGAUAAGCCUGCAACGAAGGAAAGGGUCAGGAAUAGAAUAAACAUGUGCCUGGCUUUUGAAACAUUUGUCUGACAUUGGUUUUUACUUUUACUUUUUCUUUCUCUUUUUUUCUCUCUCAGCACUUACUAUCAAAAUUGACAUCCAAAUCGCCGUCGAUCGCAAGAUUGUUUGGUAUCCUACUUCUGUGAGACGAGAACCGACAUUGACGCAACUAUAUUUUU
rnacentral:ribozyme from 1 species